rfam:Parcubacteria bacterium GW2011_GWA2_36_10 TR94_C0003, whole genome shotgun sequence.
GGGGAUGUAGUUAAACGGUAUAACGGGUCAUUCGCAUUGACCUAUUCGGGGUUCAAUUCCCCGCAUCUCCA